rnacentral:rRNA from 1 species
GAUGAACGCUGGCGGCGUGCCUAAUACAUGCAAGUCGAGCGAACGGACGAGAAGUUUGUCUCUCUGAUGUUAGCGGCGGACGGGUGAGUAACACGUGGAUAACCUACCUAUAAGACUGGGAUAACUUCGGGAAACCGGAGCUAAUACCGGAUAAUAUUUUGCACCGUAUGGUUCAAAAGUGAAAGAUGGUCUUGCUGUCUCUUAUAGAUGGAUCCGCGCUGCAUUAACUAGUUGGUAAGGUAACGGCUUACCAAGGCAACGAUGCAUAGACGACCUGAGAGGGUGAUCGGCCGCACUGGAACUGGGACGAGGUCCAGAGGACUACGGGAGGCAGCAGUAGGGAAUGUUCAGCAGUGGGCGAGAGCCUGACGGAGCAGCGCCGAGUAGGUGAUGAAGGACUUCGGAUCGUAAAACUCUGUUAUUAGGGAAGAACAUAUGUGUAAGUAACUGUGCACAUCUUGACGGUACCUAAUGAGAAAGCCACGGCUAACUACGUG